GACAGAGGGUGCAAACGUUGCUCGGAAUUACUGGGCGUAAAGCGCGUGUAGGUGGAUUGGUGUGUCAGAUGUGAAAGCCCUGGGCUCAACCCAGGAACUGCACCUGAAACUACCAGUCUUGAGUGGUGGAGAGGGAAGUGGAAUUCCUGGUGUAGCGGUGAAAUGCGCAGAUAUCAGGAGGAACACCAAUUGCGAAGGCAGCUCGCUGGGACGUUACUGACGCUGAGACGCGAAAGCGUGGGGAGCAAACAGG
rnacentral:rRNA from 1 species